AGCGAACGCUGGCGGCAGGCCUAACACAUGCAAGUCGAACGAACCUUUCGGGAUUAUUGUCGGACGGGUGUGUAACACGUGGGAACGUUCCUUUAGGGUCGGAAUAACUCAGGGAAACGUGUGCUAAUACCGAAUGUGCCCUUCGGGGGAAAGAUUUAUUGCCUUUAGAGCGGCCCGCGUCUGAUUAGCUAGUUGGUUGAGGUAAUGGCUCACCAAGGCGACGAUCAGUAGAUGGUCUGAGAGGAUGAUCAGCCACAUUGGGACUGAGACACGGCACAAACUCCUACGGGAAGCAGCAGAGGGGAAUCUUGCGCAAUGGGCGAAAGCAUGACGCAGCCAUGCCGCGUGAAUGAUGAAGGUCUUAGGAUUGUAAAAUUCUUUCACCGGGGAAGAUCAUGACGGUACCCGGAGAAGAAGCCCCGGCUAACUUCGUG
rnacentral:rRNA from 1 species